AACACAGAUUGGUAUUAGGGUUCUUUUCAAGAUUUGGUUUUGGGUUGCAGGUCCAUCAUGGCUAGAGCUUUAGUUCAGUCAAUAAACAUUCCAUCUUCAGUUGCUGUUGCUGGUGAAAGGGAUGGACAAUUCAAUGGAUCCCGGAAAAAUCAAACAAGUGUUAGAAUGAUAUGUGAUGUAAAAUUUCCUUCCUUAAAUCUGAAGAGUUUUGUAGGACUGCGAGGGUGCAAUGUAUUAGAUGCAAAAUCUGGAGAAACUCUCCAUUCAAAAGUGGCAGCUGCAACUUUUGUCAAACAGCCACGAGGGUGUCGAAUUGUCCCAAAAGCAAUGUCUGAGCAGCGCACCACCAAGAAAGCAGUAAAAGUAAUUAUGCUUGCACAAGAAGAGUCCAGACGACUAGGUCACAAUUUAAUUGGGACAGAACAAAUUCUGUUGGGUCGAGAACUGGUACUGCUGCUAAGGUUCUUAAAUCCAUGGGAAUCAAUUUGAGAGAUGCUUGUAUUGAAGUAGAGAAGAUUACUGGCAAGGUUAGUGGAUUCGUUGCAGUGGAAAUCCCUUUUACUCGUCAUGCAAAGCGUGUUCUUGAACUCUCUCGAGAGGAAGCCAGCCAACUAGGGCAUAAUUACGUUGACUCAGAACACUUGCUACUUGGAUUGUUGCGCGGUGGUAAAGGUGUGGCCGCUCGUGUUCUUGAAAACUUGGGUGCUGACCCCAAUAACAUUUAC